CCCUUAGAUGUUCUGGGCCGCACGCGCGCUACACUGACUAGUCCAACGAGUGUUUGUACCUUUGCUGAUAGGCAUGGGCAAUCUCUGAACGCUAGUCGUGAUAGGGAUCGAUUUUUGGAAUUAUUAAUCGUCAACGAGGAAUUCCUAGUAAAUGCGAGUCAUCAUCUCGCGUUGAUUACGUCCCUGCCCUUUGUACACACCGCCCGUCGCACCUACCGAUUGAAUGGUCCGGUGAAGCCUCGGGAUUGCGAAUGCUUCGUGCGGACGCGAGAACUUGGCUAAACCUUACCAUUUAGAGGAAGGUGAANUCGUAACA
rnacentral:rRNA from 1 species